rnacentral:rRNA from 1 species
UACAGGGGGUGCAAGCGUUGCUCGGAAUUAUUGGGCGUAAAGCGCACGUAGGCGGUCUGUUAUGUCGGAUGUGAAAGCCCUUGGCUCAACUGAGGAAGUGCAUCCGAAACUGGCAGGCUAGAGUACGUAAGAGGGUCGCGGAAUUCCCGGUGUAGAGGUGAAAUUCGUAGAUAUCGGGAGGAACACCGGUGGCGAAGGCGGCGACCUGGGACGAUACUGACGCUGAGGUGCGAAAGCGUGGGGAGCAAACAGG